ensembl:snRNA U6 U6 spliceosomal RNA
UUCUUGACUGUAGAAUGAUCCAAAGAAACCUAAUGAAUGAUUUGAAAAGAAGAAAAGAAUGGCCCCUGCACAAAGAUGACAUGCAAAUUCUUGAAGUGCUCCCUAUUUUU